rnacentral:tRNA from 1 species
CUGGGGCUGGUCCAGGAGGCGCUGCCGCUGCUGCGGGCGUCGGGGGCGGGCUCGGUGAUCGACGUCAGUUCGGACGCGGCGGCCGAGGC